rnacentral:lncRNA from 1 species
GGGGCCGAGGGGGGGAGUCACUUUAAAGGCUCUUUCUUACCCAUAAUGCUUUGUGGGGACGUUGACAAGUGGAUCCAAGAUGGCGUAGAAAGUAAUGACAGGAAUUGGAUGAAGUAA